rnacentral:rRNA from 1 species
CUCCUACGGGAGGCAGCAGUAGGGAAUCUUCCACAAUGGGCGAAAGCCUGAUGGAGCAACGCCGCGUGAGUGAUGAAGGCCUUCGGGUUGUAAAACUCUGUCAUUCGGGACGAACCGGAGUCUGAGGAAAUGCAGACUCUCUGACGGUACCGGAGGAGGAAGCCCCGGCUAACUACGUGCCAGCAGCCGCGGUAAUACGUAGGGGGCAAGCGUUGUCCGGAUUCACUGGGCGUAAAGCGCGCGCAGGCGGUGAUGUAAGUCUGAGGUGAAAACCCGAAGCUCAACUUCGGGACUGCCUUGGAUACUGCGUCACUUGAGGAUAGGAGAGGCAAGGGGAAUUCCACGUGUAGCGGUGAAAUGCGUAGAGAUGUGGAGGAACACCUGUGGCGAAGGCGCCUUGCUGGCCUAUUUCUGACGCUGAGGCGCGAAAGCGUGGGGAGCAAACAGGAUUAGAUACCCUGGUAGUCCACGCUGUAAACGAUGAGUGCUAGGUGUAGGUGGGCUCAUACCCAUCUGUGCCGAAGCUAACGCAUUAAGCACUCCGCCUGGGGAGUACGGUCGCAAGACUGAAACUCAAAGGAAUUGACGGGGGCCCGCACAAGCAGUGGAGCAUGUGGUUUAAUUCGAAGCAACGCGAAGAACCUUACCAGGACUUGACAUCCCAUAGACCAGUCUAGAGAUAGACUCUCCCUUCGGGGCUGUGGUGACAGGUGGUGCAUGGUUGUCGUCAGCUCGUGUCGUGAGGUGUUGGGUUAAGUCCCGCAACGAGCGCAACCCUUACUUUGUGUUGCCAGCAUUCAGUUGGGCACUCACAAGGGACUGCCGCCGAUAAGGCGGAGGAAGGUGGGGAUGACGUCAAAUCCUCAUGGCCCUUACGCGCUGGGCUACACACGUGCUACAAUGGCGGUGACAGUGGGCAGCAAACUCGCGAGAGUGCGCUAAUCUCCAAAAGCCGUCUCAGUUCGGAUUGUUCUCUGCAACUCGAGAGCAUGAAGGCGGAAUCGCUAGUAAUCGCGGAUCAGCAUGCCGCGGUGAAUACGUUCCCAGGCCUUGUACACACCGCCCGU